ensembl:Mt_tRNA
GUUAAGAUGGCAGAGUCCGGUUAUUGCAAAAGACCUAAGCCCUUUGAAUAGAGGUUCAAAUCCUCUUCUUAACU